rnacentral:rRNA from 1 species
AGAGUUUGAUCCUGGCUCAGGAUAAACGCUGGCGGCGUGCCUAACACAUGCAAGUCGAACGCCCUGCGCAAGCAGGGAGUGGCGCACGGGUGAGUAGCACGUGGGUAUCUGCCUUGAGGUGAGGAAUACCGGCGAGAAAUCGCCGACAAAACCGCAUAGGUUUCCGGCAAAAGCGGGAAACAAAGUCGCAAGACGCCCCA